UGCCACGCAUUUCCUAUUCCUCCUGGAGGACCCUGCAAGGGCCUUCCUAUAGCUCCUCAAGUUGUUCUGUCUUGGCAGCCACCUGCAGGUGAGCCUGGCCUGGCCCAGCUCACCACACCCUGCUGUUAAUAACAGCUGGAGGAGCUGGGGCCGGGAGCCGCCUGGAGCUAGGGGGCCCCAGCUUCCAGGUGUGGUUGCUGAGCUGCACUGUGGGGUACACAGGUUACUUCUGUCUCAGGAAAAGGCCAGGAUCACCUGCCCAGCACCCUGCCAGUGGACACCAGUCUCCAAAGCAAAGCUCUUUGGGGAGGUUGAUGGCCAGCAUCUCCUGCAGCCUCAGCUUUUGCCCAGUCCCUACAAAGGAAAUCUGUACAUGUUGCUGUGGAAACUGCAUGAAUGUGACAGACCUUGUAAGGCCUAGUAUUCUUGCAUGAUGCAAAGAGAGGAGAUGGUAUUCUUGAAAAUCUAUAUCCACUGGGGAACAAACAGUUGCUGAAGCAAGAGGUUUGAUGCCCCAUUUACACCCUCACUCAUCAACAGAGCUGAAACAUUGCCUGGCAUCUUUCCCCAUUCUACAAGCAAUUGGGACUGAGCUGGCAAACAGGAGCAGGAGGGCUCGAAAAUGAUUUGCCUGAGUCCAGACCAAACUGCUUUUAGUAUUAGUGUUUGGAAUAGAAUUCGAAGUUCUUAAGAUUUCACAUUAUUUAGCCUUCAAUAGAUUUUCAUAUGCAUAACCUUCAACAUACUUUCAUAUGCAUAACUCUCCAUGCUUUUCCAUUAUUGGCCAUAUUUAUGAGAACAACUGAAACCUUCAGUCUCCUACUCUCAUUGUCAGUAAAAGCAGGAAAAGUGACAGCAAUAAAAAAGUCUUGGCUUC